UGAUGUUUGGAGAGGAUAUGUGCGGCAGAUUUUUGUCAAAGUGGCCCACAUUCUUCAAACCCUGACAUACUGUAAACAUCCAGUCUGUAAUGAUCAUGUACAAGAACUCUUGGCUGCACAAAACUCUGAAAGAGAUGUCUUAGGCUGGGACAGUGACCUCUCAAGCAUUCCAAUUUUGGUUCGAAAACUUCCGGCUACUUCCAAACGACAUGAGAAGAGAGCAAAAAUGAGUUCCUCCCAAGCUAUAAACCAUCUUGCAAGAUAUAUGCAGAUUGGAACCAGUGUUGAAACUUUUCUUGCCGGGGUAGACCCAGGACAGCCGUCCCUUCCAUGUGUGGGGGAAGGCACAAACAUUUUGCAGCUUUCCAUGAACUAUUCAACAUUCACGUCUUCAGUUUAAACUACCAAGAGUCUCUCGUCAACAGCGACACCUUCACCCAGACCACAGUGUUCAACAUAGACAUUGGAAGUGCAAAGGAAAGUCUCAGAGUGAAUGGAACUCAGCGCAAGACUUCUAAACAAGGACACCUAUGGUGAUGCAGUGUUUGUCUUCCAUCUGUACGGAACACGACAUAAGUACCGCAUUGCUUUUUCAACAUUUAAGACAACAUCAUGCUUUGCAACUGCAAUGUAGACAACAAGUAUCAAGGGUAUAUUUUUGUUUAUAAUAGGGUUUCAGGGAACACCUUGUUCAUUUAAACACAAACAGUUGAUAAUGUGAAUUAUUUUUUUAAUAUGGACACUAUAGUUGAAAGUGUUGAGCCAUCAACAUUUAAAGGGGCACAGCACUUUUUUGGGAAUUUUGCCUAUUGUUCACAAUCAUUACAAAGACAUGAUGACAGAUGGAUUUUUUUUUUAAUGCAUUCUAACUUGUAAAUACAGUAAACGUAAAUAAGAGUCCAUUUACAGGUCCUGUAUUUCGCCCAUAAAAUCUAAUAAUUAUUAAAAAAACGCCAACAAUACUCUAUUUACUUUUUGUGAAUUAAAUAUUAACCAAGUAUUAGUGAUAUUGUUAUUAUUAGCGCUAACGCAGACAAACUAUUUAUAACGGCGCCGUGAUCACAAUUGUACAAUUUCGACAUGAUUAACUGGCGAAGUGUUUCCUUGCUUCCUUGCUCCCUGAAAGUUUAUUGUAGAUCUUAAAUCAUGCAUCUCACCUGGACAGAAGAAGUCUCAGGACGUAUUCCGACAGGUUGGUACAGUUUGACAGCCAUUUAGGAACCGGAAAUGGCAAGAACGACACGAAAAGAUGCUUGAUUCCCGUCCCCCAUCCUGUUUAUUCGUGAGGAUUGUGUUCAUUCAUCAUCUAAAUGGGAAUAUAUGAACAUCCUACCAGUCUGCAUCCUAAUGACAGCAGACAUUUUAC